GACGAACCGUGCGAACGUUGUUCGGAAUCACUGGGCUUAAAGGGCGCGUAGGCGGGCUGCCAAGUCAGGGGUGAAAGCCCACGGCUCAACCGUGGAAGUGCCUUUGAUACUGGCGGCCUUGAGGGAGGUAGGGGCGUGCGGAACUUCCGGUGGAGCGGUGAAAUGCGUAGAUAUCGGAAGGAACACCGGUGGCGAAAGCGGCGCGCUGGACCUCUUCUGACGCUGAGGCGCGAAAGUGUGGGGAGCGAACAGG
rnacentral:rRNA from 1 species